rnacentral:rRNA from 1 species
UGCAAGCGUUAAUCGGAAUUACUGGGCGUAAAGCGCACGCAGGCGGUCUGUCAAGUCGGAUGUGAAAUCCCCGGGCUCAACCUGGGAACUGCAUUCGAAACUGGCAGGCUUGAGUCUUGUAGAGGGGGGUAGAAUUCCAGGUGUAGCGGUGAAAUGCGUAGAGAUCUGGAGGAAUACCGGUGGCGAAGGCGGCCCCCUGGACAAAGACUGACGCUCAGGUGCGAAAGCGUGGGGAGCAAACAGGAUUAGAUACCCUGGUAGUCCACGCCGUAAACGAUGUCUACUUGGAGGUUGUGCCCUUGAGGCGUGGCUUCCGGAGCUAACGCGUUAAGUAGACCGCCUGGGGAGUACGGCCGCAAGGUUAAAACUCAAAUGAAUUGACGGGGGCCCGCACAAGCGGUGGAGCAUGUGGUUUAAUUCGAUGCAACGCGAAGAACCUUACCUGGUCUUGACAUCCACAGAACUUUCCAGAGAUGGAUUGGUGCCUUCGGGAACUGUGAGACAGGUGCUGCAUGGCUGUCGUCAGCUCGUGUUGUGAAAUGUUGGGUUAAGUCCCGCAACGAGCGCAAC